rnacentral:lncRNA from 1 species
CGCUGGCAUCGUGACUGGGGUCCUGGUCGGGGUGGCUCUGGUGGCCGCUCUGGGGUGUUUCCUGCUCCACACAAGAACUGGAAGGGCUGGUGUCCAGCAAGGCCUCAGAGACCACCGCACCCCAGCAUCAACAGCCAGUGAGUGCCCCUUCAGCCUGCGGGUGGCUGGGAGCCCUAGGCCUGCCCCUCAGUGUCACUCUUGCAGUCAACCACUCCUUAGGUCAAGUCCUUCCCCUGGGCCUCAGGAGCCCUGUCAUCAAACACUCAGGUCAGGGGACCCACCUGGCCUCACUUUUGGCAUCUAGUCACCUCCUUAG